GCCUGUUCUUGUCGAGAGCUCAACCAGGACGGGAACUGUUCUGGUUGAGCUCUCAAAAAAUUAACCAUCAAAUACCUGAGAACUCGCUGCUACUCUGAGAUUAUCAGAGCUCCAAGUUAAAAUCUGGUUUCAAAACAGACAACCGAAACGGCGGAAACAAGCAAAAACAAGUGCAUUGGAGAGAAAAUCCAAAUGGACAGCUUUCACCAGCAGAACCUCUUACAGCAGCAGCAACGACAAUCACAACCGGGUCAGGGAACAACAUAAAUAAAAAAUAAAUGAAAAAUAAUGAACAUGCUAAAAAUAAUGAACAUAAUAUGGACUUUUGGGGAUGGGGUGAGAUUAGAGAAUAAUAGCAGACUAAUUUGUAUGCUGUAAUUCUAGAAUCUCGAAAGUUGUUCUGUUAAUCUAAUCAAUUCAUAUCAUUACUUGGUCUUAGUACCCGUAAUGAUAGAAGUCUUGCCUGAAUGCCGGUCAUUUCCGGGUCAGUGGUGGGUCUUAAUAAAUGAACAAAUAAAAUAGAUAA